rnacentral:tRNA from 2 species
GCCGCGGUGAGGUAGCGGUUAGCCUUCCGGCCUGUGGAGCCGGAUGCCUGGGUUCGAAUCCCAGCCGCGGCC